UUUGGGUGUCAGAAUACAUUUGCAAGGUCGUUCCCUUGUUUCGUUAUCUAUGAGUAAAAAUUGAUAUAUUACAGUUUGCUUGGUUGACAAGUGAAUGCAUCCGUGUAUUUCUGAAUGUGAGAAUUUGGAAGAACUUUGUGCAGUGUUCUGAAUUUUAUUUUUCUUGUUCAUGCAGAUGCAGGUUUCUUUUUCUACAUGAAUAAUAAUUUAACUAAUCAUACUUGAUCUGCUUUACAUGCUACAGAUCUCUUCGCGUAUAUAAAGGUGUGGGAUUUUCUCCACACAACAAGGUUUCGAUGCUGUUUUCGAAGUUUUUGUAGUGACAAACGUUUUGCCCACAGCUUGAAAAAUAAUAGCUGAGAUGGAACUACCGUGUUGGUACUGGCAAUUGAAAGAUCCAGCACUUUGAUUUCAUCCUCUUCUUAUGAGCAGGUAAUUGCUAAUAUGCUCAUACAGCCUAUUUAUGAAUUUUGCCCUUCCCUGUUUUGCAUCUUACAUGCUUGUUUGUGUUGAUAAGCACAAGCUUCUACUAUGUAAGCACGUGCUUAUUAGUUUUAUCUACCCCUAUUUAUCACGGUCAUAAUAUUAUGUCGAUGGCUAUGUGUUGCAUUUUA